rnacentral:rRNA from 1 species
CCUACGGGGGGCUGCAGUGAGGAAUAUUGGUCAAUGGUCGGGAGACUGAACCAGCCAAGCCGCGUGAGGGAUGAAGGUACAGAGUAUUGUAAACCUCUUUUGUCAGGGAACAAAGUCGGGGUCGCGUGCCCGGACGAGUGUACUUGAAGAAAAAGCAUCGGCUAACUCCGUGCCAGCAGCCGCGGUAAUACGGAGGAUGCGAGCGUUAUCCGGAUUUAUUGGGUUUAAAGGGUGCGUAGGCGGUCUGUUAAGUCAGCGGUCAAAGCCCGGGGCUCAACCCCGGCCCGCCGUUGAAACUGGCAGUCUCGAGUUGGAGAGAAGUAUGCGGAAUGCGCGGUGUAGCGGUGAAAUGCAUAGAUAUCGCGCAGAACUCCGAUUGCGAAGGCAGCAUGCCGGCGCCGCACUGACGCUGAGGCACGAAAGCGUGGGUAUCGAACAGGAUUAGAUACCCCAGUAGUC